rnacentral:tRNA from 1 species
GACCCAAAAUAAUGCUGAAGUGCAAAUUCGGUAGUGAAAACAUAAUGUGUUUUGUGGGUCU